UGCGCAUCAGUAAUAAAUGACACACAGCAAAAUGAAUCCGUUUAUUUGGGUACUUAUAAUCCUGAUGACGCUAGACGCGCUGCGGGAAUUGGCUGGCGCUUCGUCUAUUUUAGGAUGGCUAUUAACGUUGGUUUGAGCUGGCAAUAAGUCCGGACGGGUAUUUACCGCAGUCCGGACUUAUUUUUCAG
rnacentral:misc_RNA from 1 species